rnacentral:rRNA from 1 species
CGGACGGGUGAGUAACGCGUGGAUAACCUGCCUCACACUGGGGGAUAACAGUUAGAAAUGGCUGCUAAUACCGCAUAAGCGCACAGUACCGCAUGGUACGGUGUGAAAAACCCAGGUGGUGUGAGAUGGAUCCGCGUCUGAUUAGCCAGUUGGCGGGGUAACGGCCCACCAAAGCGGCGAUCAGUAGCCGACCUGAGAGGGUGACCGGCCACAUUGGGACUGAGACACGGCCCAA